AUGAAAGGGUUAAGCUACAGCACCUUCUGCACAAUGAGCAGAAUUAAUCAUACAGUGUUUGCACUGAUUUUUGUCAUCCUAUUUCUUAAGUUUCCUCCUGUUCCUGGCCAAACUGUAACAUCACAGCAGGCUUUGAAAGAAGAUGUAAACAGUCAAACCACAGAAGUAGGUGUCACAGAGCCUUUGGAGGAGACAUCGCAUCCACCUGAAGCCACUUCCCCAACUCUCAAUGAAACCUUUAUUUCAUCUGUGGAACAAACCACUGCUGUGGGAACUACUUCUGGGCCUGGUCUGGGAACAUCGCCCUCUCAUUUCUCGACCAUCAUUCCUACUCCAGAGACAACGGCCGAGGCUGUUAGGCCGAGCACUGCUGCUGCCGCUCCACAAAAAGCAGAGAACGUAACGACAGAGGGCAUCUCAACAGAAUCUACGACCCCUCCUAAAAUUUUCACAUCCAGUCCUUCCAUCACAGCAACUGAAUUUAACCAGAAAACAGAAAGAAGCACAACUGAAGAUGUUUCUGAAAACAUCACUGUCACUUCUGCAACCCAUCUCAUUCUUUUGGAGACAACAAGUCCCACUCCCGCUGUCACCCAUGCUCAGUCCGCUUCUCCUGCGGAGACGAGCUCAACUCUUAAUCCUGUCCACACAAUUUUUACCACCCCCGCCAAUAGAAGUGGUUCAACGCCAUGGAUUUUAAUAAUUAUUUUGAUUGUCUGCAUUAUCUGUGUGGUGUUGAUAAUCACAGCAUGCGUCAACAAGAGGAAGAAGAAGAGGUCAGAAACCUUUAGGUCCAGCUUAAGAAAUGGAGGCAGCCAUAAGGCCAAAAAGAAGAAAGGCGCAGGGUCAGAUGCCUGGGCGGGACCCGUGGCUCUCAAUGGAGACAAGGACUGGGAGGCAGCAGCAGAGGAUGGAGGGAAAGGGGAGGAGACACUCAAACAAGGGGAUGAGGUGGAGGUUGUACUGAGCACGUUCACAGCUCAAGACAAGGAGGACGGAAAGGGUGACGCAGGAGAGGACAGGGUGAGACCGAAGGACGAGGACAACAAGGCAGAAGAAGUGCCACUGUUGUCCUCGGCCAAGGAUCCAGAGGAGGAGAUACCCCUUCCUGAACCCCUAGAGGGUAGGGAAGGUGAGGAAGACGAAGGUGAGACUUUCUGUAUGACAUCUGCUGUGUAA
rnacentral:lncRNA from 1 species